rnacentral:rRNA from 1 species
CAGCCGCCGCGGUAAUACGGAGGGUGCAAGCGUUAAUCGGAAUUACUGGGCGUAAAGCGUGCGUAGGCGGUUCGUUAAGUCUGUUGUGAAAGCCCCGGGCUCAACCUGGGAAUGGCAAUGGAUACCGGCGAGCUAGAGUGUGUCAGAGGAUGGUGGAAUUCCCGGUGUAGCGGUGAAAUGCGUAGAGAUCGGGAGGAACAUCAGUGGCGAAGGCGGCCGUCUGGGACAACACUGACGCUGAGGCACGAAAGCGUGGGGAGCAAACAGGAUUAGAUACCCCGGUAGUCCCUGUCUCUUAUAC